CUGAGGUUAAGCCCUUGUUCUAAAGAUUUGUUC
rnacentral:rRNA from 1 species